GCACAUUAGCUUCAAAUAGAUGAAUACAAACUCAGCCAUUAGCUUCAAAUAAGCCAAACCAAUUUAAGUGCUACAUACACAAAUAAGAAUUCUUAUUAUUAUAAAAAAAAUUUUUUAAUGUAUUAUUGGCCAAGGUCCUGUCAAAACAGGUGGGUUUUCACUCUACGCUGGAAGGUGUGGAGACUUUCUGCUAACUAGUUUUAUUUUAGUUUUAUUUUAGGGGUAUUUGGGUCCCACAGGAGUAACGAGUCGAUUGGCCGAUGCAGAGCAAAGUGAGCAAGCUGGGGUAUAUGGUUUGACCAUGGCCUGGAUGUAGGAAGGAGCUGACCCAUUCCAGGCACGGAAGGCCAGCACCAGAGUCUUGAAGCAGAUUAGGUCACCACUGGUAACCAGUGAAGGGAGCGGAGGAGCGGUGUAGUGUGGGAGAACUUGGGGAGGUUGAAGACCAGUCGGGCUUCUGCAUUCUGGAUGAGCUGUAGAGGUCUGAUGGCACUUGUAGGUAGACCAGCAAGGAGGAACACUUCCUCAAUUCCCCUUCCAAACUUAGUUUUCACCUGUUCUCACAGGUGAAAAAAAAGUAACUUAAAAAAUGAUCCAGGCAAAUUCUCUAGAAGAGACACCUUCUGCUAAGGUGGCACAGUUAGUAAAAACCAUUGUUAUAUAGAGGCUACGUUUACUGGGGAUGAUAAGAAGUUAAUCUAGUGCGCUAGGCUAGAAGCUAAACUAGGAGCUACAUUAACAAGGCAGCAACAAAGGCUGCCCCUAACAGUAAAUUAGCUUUAAUGUAUUUAGCAUCUGCAUCUUUUAUUUAUUUUGUCUGAUUAAUGAUUAAUGAUGUGUUCAUUUCAGAAUGAUCGUGUGGUGAUAGCUUCGGAUGGCAUCGGGUUGCAAAACCAUCCCAUGGCAGCUGGGUUCAAUAAUGUCUCUUUCUCUGCUGACGCCGGAAAGAGCCUCACGGAGGGGUGAGGCAGGAGGAGCGGCGGUUCUGCCACCUAUAGGUGGCUUUUUGAAAAUGAGGCGAUAUCACAGCAGCAGAACUGCUUGUGUCGCCGUUACAUGACACACACACACACACACACACACACACACACACACACACACACACACACACACACACACACACACACACUUACAUAAAGAAAACACAAGCACAGCCCGCAUAUUGCAACACUAAUGAAGGCCUAAUCAGUGGUGCUGCCUCAGAUCUGAUGGAGGCCUCGAGGGUCACAGCUCUCUUCCGGUGGACAGACAGAUGGAAGUCAUAAGGAAGAACGUCUAAGGUGUCUUGGGCAGAAAUUAGUUGAACUUUCUUUCAAUCGAGACGGUGUCUGACCUGUGAAUGGCAAAAAUGGUUGCAUUGAGAUUUAGGAUCCAUUUUGGAACUGUAAGGAAGCAUAAACUUGGGGCAUGGAGCUUGAGAGAAAUGUGAGUUCACAGUCGAGGAGGCUCUAAUGAAUGACACUAUCAAGUUGCACUUUGGGACAAGAGCUUGAAUAACAUUAAAAAGUAAAAAUAUAUGUCUCAAUCUGUCUCUUACAAGCACCCUAACUUUAUAGAAAGUUGUGCAGUGCCCCUUUAAAGAGAAAAGAGCAGCUUUAAACGGACAGGUUAAACCUUGAAAAAAGAUUAAAGGGUUAUAAAGAAAGUUGACAUGUAACGGAGCUCUUUGGAGAAAGUCUGUUGAAGGGAUGUAUUCUUUUGGAUUGGUUGGAGAGUUAACUUUGCUCUGCUUUGAAACAAGACAUAAUUGAGC
ensembl:lncRNA